GCGCAUUAAGCUUGCGCGCCUUAAACAAACAGUAGACGGAGAAACCGAACACAACAAGAAGACGACGAAAAUGGCGAGUGUAAGGAAACCAGAAUCUUUCGUGUGGACCGAUAAUGAGGCCGAACUGCUGCUGCGACUCACACUCAACUACAAGGCAAAUUGAUCGUGUUAUAAGAGGGGGUUCUGUACCGGUCUUGGCGUCCACGGAGAAGUAAGGCUGGCCCUCCAGGAUGCUGUACACCACACGAGCGCUGUUGCCAUACGUCGGGUCGUCGGCAUCUGUGGCGGUCAGCUGGAUCACAGAUGUUCCUGCAUAAACAUGGAGGGGAAAAAGGUGAAGAUCAUCUCCACACACCAGCUAAUGACUGAGCCGGUGUCGUCCGUCCCCCCAGAGGGCUGCUGGUUCCCAGUCCAACCGGUGAAUACCCUGAAGUCAGGAGCUAAAGAUAAACAGUGACGACGACUGACGGACCCCUUGAGCAAGGCGCUGCGUCCCCUGCCAGCUCCGGGAGAAGUCCAGUUGACCCCCGGUGCUUCAAAAAAAUUGAAGAAAAAAAAGACAGAACCGAGAGCGACAGACCUCCCGAUCAACUCCUUCCUUCCUCGGUGCUGCUGCUGCUGCUGCUGCUGCUGCUGCUCCCGGCGCUCAGGACUGAGAGAGGGAUAAGUGUGAGGCAAAGUAAUCUUCAGCUUAAGCUCAGGCGUCGGGGACCUUGAAGCCGUGAUCACAAUGCCAGAGGCGGCGUAGCUCGUAAGACAAAAGGAAAAUCUGGGGAGAGGAUGGCGACGGCGGCGGUUGGAAGUGGAGAUGUACACGAGGAGAUGCAGCGACCGCCGAGCACCAGACCUGGAGAAUAUCAUGUCUGCCUCAUUAAAACACGACACUCACGGUGAGAGGAAAAUAAGGUCCUGACAACACAAUCAAUAAGCGAGCUUUAAUAAAGGAAGCUGUAAUCCAAAGUCCAAAAUGCAAGAAGCAAAACUAGAACACGACGGGGAGGUUUCCCUGAGCAGCUGCAAGAAGAAGAGGAAGAAGAAAUGUCCAGCCCACGUAUGUGUUAUAAACACAACAACAAACGCACAAAAGAAUUACUUGAUGCUCCGUCACCUGAAGCCUUACGUAUCUCCUGCUGCUGAAGGUUUCUGGACUGCUGGAGCUGCGAUGGACAACAUAACGAAACUGCCAUGGUGGAUCGGAGACGGACCGAACCCGGAUCUGGUGGAAUUUAGGGGUGAUGCUGAUGAAACAAUCAAGCUGGUGAAUCUGCAAAGACGUUGUCAUUUUUUAAAUGGACAUCAGCAUCAUGCAUCAAAUGGAGUAUGUCUUUCAGUAGCAAGUGGUCCCUUUGUUGACGUUGCUGCUUCUUUUCUCUUUCUAAAGCACAACAAAUUCAAUUCCUUUCACCUCCAUUGAAUUGGGGCGGUGGCUAAAAACCAAUACAUAUGUAUCAGAUUUAAAACAAAAAUAACAGAAUCAGUUUUCUAUUAAUCUGAGUGAGCCACGCUUUUAAAAGUGCAAAUGUGGAUGUUAAUUCGAUGCCUGUAGCGUUACAGCGUGCCGAAAAUGUAAAUUUAUGUAGAUGAUCAUGUGGAUUAUUACUUCAACUAAAAGAUCUCUUCUUCUGCUACAUGACUUGAUAAAGGCAGCCUGAACCUAAUUACAGCCCCCUCAGGUUAAUUUAUUCCUGGAGCUGUUACGUCCCAUCACCAGGACACAUGGUAUGCAGUAAUGGAGGCUUCAGCCUGACUGCACACACGUUUCUGUAAACACUAUAACUUAGAGACGAUUCAAGAGAGGAACAUCAAACUCACCAAGGCUCAUUCUCGAGGGGGAGAAAAGACCGAAUCUCACCUGGAUUCACCUCUAAAACUCCCAGGAGUCCUGACAGUAGGUUGUUCUUAAAGCACACACGUGAGGAGAUGGAUGUUGGGACAAUUGUGGAGGAGAAAUUGGCUUCAUUAAUGACCAAACAUGUUGUUGUUAUCAUGUUAUGAGGAUGUUGGGAGGCCAUGAGUCCUGUGUGAGAUUUUAGCCAUGCUGGCGGCUUGAUGGAUGGUGAUAGCAGCAGGUCAGUUUGAAAGGAUUUCAAAAUCUAUUGGAGGUAUUGGCGUAAAAUUUGGUGUAGACAUUCAUGAUUCCCAGAGGAUGAAGUUAACAGACUCUGGUGAGAAAACAUCCAAGACCUGCUGAGAAUCUUGCCAAUGGCUCCUUGUUGGCAGGUGCCAAAGCCAAGAUUCUUGGCUGGAUGGCGAUGGCGGUCCACAGGUCAGUUUGAAAUUAUCUCAACAACUAUUGGAGGUAUUGGCAUGAAAUGUGGUACAAACAUUCAUAGUUCCCAGAGGAUGAAGUUUAGCAGCUCUGGUGAGAAAACAUCCCAAGACCUGCUGAGAAUCUUGGCGAUGGCUGCUUGUUGGCAGGUGCCAAAGCCAAGAUUCUUGGCUGGAUGGCGAUGGCGGUCCACAGGUCAUUCACACAUUACCUCAACAACUAUUGGAGGUAUGGCGUGAAAUUUGGUACAAACAUUCAUAGUUCCCAGAGGAUGACGCUAACUGACUCUGGUGAGAAGACCUGCCAAGAAUCUUGGCGAUUGGCCCCCUUCUUGGCAGGCUGCUUCUCCACACAGGGGCAGAGCUGACUAGAGAUAAGCACC